GAUAUCAACUGAAAAAGUCAUCAACAACAAAGUUGAAUAACUCAUCAAGAUCUAAAACUUUUAUUUUGGUCAUUUCUUCAUACGACAAAGUGAUAGUAACAUUGUUUACAAAAUUGACAUAUCUCUUAUCUGGUUUUAUAAACUAUAACACAUAUAUGUAAAAUUUGUGAAUAAUAUUACUAACAUUUCGUCGGAUGAAGAAAUAACAAAAAUAAAAGUUUUAGAUCUUGAUGAGUUAUUUAACUUUGUUGUUGAUGACUUUUUGAAUUGAAAUC
rnacentral:pre_miRNA from 1 species